CGCCGGCCUUGUCCUCAGUGUGGCCGGAAGACGACUCGGGGCUGCUGCUGCUCUCGGGGCGCCGCCGCCGCUCUUUCUCCUCUGCUGCCGCCGCCGUCUCCCGGCAGCCGCCGCCGCCGCCGCUGUCCGAACUUGAAGUUGCCGGCGCGCCCGUUGCAGCCGCCGCCGCCGCCGCGGAGGUCGCCGUGGCCGCCGGGGGCCCCUUCUCGGCGCUCUUGUCCCCGGGGUAGUCGGAGGAGGCGAGGUUUUCCGGGGUGCCGUAGGCUGUCUCGAAAAACUGGUCGAAAGCCUGUGGCAGGACGCCGUUCCUGCCCACGGUGCUAUAGAAAUUGGACGAGACUGCGGGGGUGGGGUGGUGGUAGACGUUGGCCGAGCUCUUGGCCAGCACGUCGCCAGGCACGCCGGCCGCGCUGGGCGCCUGCAGGCAGUCUCUGUGCACGAGCUCCUCCGCGGAGUAGCAGUGGGCCAGAUUGCCGCGGGGGUGCCAUUUAGUGGCGGGCUCAAUGGCGUACUCUCUGAAGGUCACUUCGCGCACGGGUUGGACCUGGGGCAGGUUGGAGGAGUAGGAGUAUGUCAUUGGGCGCGAAGACGGGGUCUGGGGCAGAAAAGAAGGGAGGCUGGAGAAAUCUGGACCCGAGACGUAGUAAGUACAACUUGGCAAAUACAUGUUAGAGGAGCAGGGACCACGCUCAUCAAAAUCCAUUAUUGGGCUACCUUGGGCUCUCCGCAGUAGCCGAGCUUAACAUGAUUCUCCACUGCAGCUGCCUCUUUGAAGCGGAUCCGUGAAGUAGAAAUUUGGAGACCCACCUCAGGGGAAGCAACAGAUCGUCACUCGGUGUUCUCACCGAAAGCACGUAAUCGCCGGUGUAACUCAUGUUGGCUGGGGGGCCUCCCGGCGCGCGCGGAGAGGCUGGGGUGCGCCCCCAUGCAGCAUGCUUGUGCUCAAUUGCAGGGUCCUCGUUCUCGAGUGUGCAGAGGGCGGUGAGAGCUCAACUCUCGUCCCCACCUCCCACCCGCAGCUCCCCGGACUUGCUCUGGGAAGCGCCUCUGCCUCCGACCCUAGCCGGAACCCCUUCGGGGCCAGAGUUUGAAGCCGUGGAUGUGCCUGCCUGGUGGCUUGUCCGAUUUGCACGGUGACUUGAUUACACUCUCUCAUUCAUGGUCACUUCCGAAGCGCUUUAGUGCCUUCCGUCCCUAAACCGCCAACAGCCAGAACGGCUUCUCCCCGCGUGACUCGGCAGAGACAGAGGCACAGGGGCUGCCCUGCUGCUCACCGGUCCACCCAUCUGCCUGGUCUUCUGGAGCUGAGGACUCGGGAAACCAUGCAAUUGAGGCAAGCCUUGGGCUGCUUUAGAGGCGCUGACAUCCGAGGAGACUUCUCCUGGGAUUGAAGGAGCAAUGUUUGGAGGAAGCGAAAGAAAGGAGAGGACACAGAGCACAGAGCAGCCAGGCAGAGCCAGGAGCUGAGAAGGGCCCAGACCUGAGGCCUCCCAACAACUCUCUUCUUGGAAGGAUCUGGGAUGUUGCUGAAGGAAAAUAAAAAAAUAUGUAAAAAGAUAACCUUUUGUUUUUCCCUCUCCAGGAAAUAGCCAAAGUUAUUUACAUAUCUUGGGGAGAUUUAGAGUAUAAACUCUAAGAUCUUUGGUAUUUAAGUGUCAACAUCGAUUUAUUUAUUUAUUGCUGAGCUGACUGUAACUGACUCAAUAACAAAUCUAAUCGUGUAUUGCACUGGAAAAGAAAUAUUCUUAUUAUGUAUUUUCUCCAAAUAAUGGCCUACCAUUGCAUUUGAAUACCUGCUGUAAAUAUCAAUAAUAUGAAGUAAUUACUCUGUAGUCGAGUAAACUAAUUUAUUAGCAUUAAUGUUUAUGUGGCUCUCCACCUCCCCCCACCACCACCUUUACAAGGAUUGCUUAUCACAAAUCAAGCUACUUGGACACAUUGGUUUAAUGAACUCUUUAUUCAAGAUUUGCUACAAGAAUUUUCAUGUCCUUUGAAUCCCUGAGAACUGAACUUGAAAUUAUUUGUGCAUCUUCAGCUUGACAUAUUUGUCCACUGUGGCUUGUCCAGAGGGCAGCAGUGCUGUGAGUGAGAAGGUCCAGUGGGAAGGAAGGUUAUUGGAGAAGAGUAGCCUCAGACCUCCUAAAGCUGGGAAGCACAUUUACAGAAUUGCCCUGCAGCGAAAAAACUUCUAUUUCCAGCAGUGACCAACAAGGCAAAAUGUUUGUUUCUCCACAGCAUCUCUUUUUUAGAGACAGAAUAUAAAAGACAGAAGGAGAGGUUUCAAACAGCGGUAUUCGAGCUGUUCCCUGGCUUGAUUUUGGCUAUCCCAAGCUCUCUCUCUGCAGCCCACCCAGUCCACGCCACCCCUACCUUCGAACAAAAGGAAUGCAUGAAGGGUUUCAGUGACUUUGCCAUAACAAAGGCGCCACCAUUGCGGGGCUCGCCCCGCCCCUGGGUGAAGGCAAACAAAUUCUUGCACUUGUAUUAGGGCUUUUAAGACCAUAAUUGAACCCGGGGGCGUCUAGGAAAACCGAAAACAGUUCUAGACAGACCUGCGGUUUUAUAGCAGUUUUGGCAGUCAACUUCAGCUUGUGCCUGAGCAGACGGGGUUGUGGUGGCCCGCCAGCGGGGGAUGCCAGGCCACCUCCCCCAGCGGCACGCAGCCCCUCUCUUAAUUAGAUCGGUUUUCCCCUGGUGUCCGGGAGAGCGGUCCCGGCAGAAAGGUCGGUAUGGGGGUGUGCGCUGUUCCGCAUAACCACUGCCUCCCAUGUCCUCCUCGAGGGCCGAACCGAGAGGGUGCUGGCAGGGCUGGAUCCCACGGGUGUCCGCAGGAGACAAAGGCGAAUUCCGGAGAAAAGGCUGGGGCUGAGAAAGGCGCUCCGGGAGCGGCUGGCAGGGCAAUUCGGCAGGCUGCACCGAAGCCGAGUGCCCGGAGGGACUUGCCGCCCGGAAGGGGGUGUGUGGGGGCGCUGCCGUGAAGAUGGAUGAGGGAAAAGGUUUUUGAUAUCAGCAGAAGGGAAAACGCCUGGAGUGGCCGAACACUUUUAGUUGCCCAGCAGGAAUAGGAGACGGGUACUCAGCUCCCCAAGGCUGCGCAAUAUCCCAGCUUUGCCCGCUCCUGCCCUCGUGUUCGGAAUAUGCUGGCGGUGUGAAUGUGAAGGUUUCUCCAGGCAGGCGGCUGGGGCGAGGGGUGGGCGCAGCUCUGAGGAUCAGACCAAAUCUAGGGGAAAAAGGGGAGGCAGACCUUCGGGUCCUUGGUUUUGACUUUGCUCUGAGCCUAUGAUUGACUCUUCCGCUUUGCAGGAGGUCCAACAGCCGAGCUUAGCCCACCGGGCUCUGGGAAAGACCCGACUGAGGCUAAAGCCGCCCCGGAAGGCCAAGUCCGAGUUCCAUUUCUUGAAGAGGCCGGCGCGCGUAAGGCUGUGACAUUGGCCCUGGCGACUGGCUUCCCAGGAGCUGUUCUUUCUCAGGAGCUCCACAGCGCGGGCCAUCUCCAGAAAACUGUCUUCAGAGUGUAUUUCCUUUUAUCGUCAACCCAGAGCCCCACCGCGGCUAAUGCAAGAGGCCAAAAAAUGUUUGGAGGAAGAAAAACAAAGGCAGGAAGUGGCGGCGGCCUGACGGUGCGUGUGUGUCUGCAGAGAAGGGAGGGAGCCGGCUCAGUCUCUUCUUGUUUUUCCAAACUUCAAGGUCCAGGCAGCCCUCUGCAGGGCCGGGCCCCAUUGCUCCCCGCGCGGCAUUGGAGGUGGCCGCCCGGAGAGGAGAAGGCCAACGCCUGCGCCAGGCUUGUCAGGCGGAAACGGCUAACAAGGAGAUUUGGUCAGCAAAACAGACCCAGCCUUUCCGAGGCUUCGUCUGACUUGGCCCGAAAGGUUGGGGAGGGGGGGCUUGCGCAGAGCCUCAGGGACCCUCCUCUCUGGGGACUACCAUCCCUGAGCCUUACGCUUCUUUCCACAGCCUUUGCAGGCGGAAUAUCGGAAUAAAGUGGGUCCAGGCGCCUCUGCCGCCUCCGCUUCUUCUUGCAGCCUGAAUGGUCCGGGAGGCAGCGGGAGGGCGCCGGCGGGCAGUGCCCAGGCGGGGUCGCCUCGAGGCCGUCGGUGAGCACCGGGCAAUGCGAGGCCUUGUUACCGAGGUUGUUGUGCUGGGGGCGUUUCCAGCACAGUCAUUCAAGGGACGUGAGCUGCAAGGAUCGUCACUUGACAGGCGGCUUAACACCCUCUCACUCCAAGGGAGGAUACAGCUGGGUGGCCGGGAGCACCUCCACACUCCAGGCUUCCCAGCUCCAACUGGCAAAGCUGCUGGGCCACCCUCUUCUCUCCCUGGGGCUGGCUUGGGAGGCAGCAGCUGCUCCUUGUCCCAGAAAUCUGAGAAUUCGAAGUCCCCAGUACUUGCACAUGCAGCCCUUUAAAUGCCCAGCAUUUGUCCACAGUCUCAAUGUCAAUGCCAAGCUGCCCCAGUCACCACUGUCCUUCUCAAGGGGGUCCUGUCCCUCUACAGUUCCUGAUCCUGCUCCUGUCCCCCCUACAGUUCCUGUCUCCUGCCCUGCCUCCUUCCAGCCAUUCUCACCUGCUGGGACCUCCUGUCUCUUCCCUACCUCUUUUGAUGCCUCUGCUAGACUGAGCAACAGCUGAGGUGCCACUGGAGGGCAUCCAAUACUCAGGCGCAGAGAAGAGGGGCUGUUAGGUCCCUGACUCUCCCCCAACUUCGGGCUUCCACCAGAGCCUGAACUGAGUCUCCCACCUCCUUCUUAGGAAUACUCCACCUCAAGGCCCCACCAAGUCUGGCUUAUCUCCCUUCCUCUCCCCUCCCUUCUCUACCCUCCUUUCUUCCCCAACACUUCCUCCUUCUCUUCUGCGGACCCAGCUGCUGCUUUUCUAGGCUGGGCAACCCAGAUGGGAUAGGCCUGGGAGGGGUCAGGACCCACUUGACAGACUGAAUCUCACUCCCAGAUGGCUACAGUUAAGUUUCUCUCUUGGUGGAUUGCUUAGGGCACCAUCAUUAUUUUGCCUCCUCCUGCUUGCCUAAUCCCUUACUUUCCUCUGUCCACAAAUGUCACACUGUUUCUAGAAAGCUACACAGAAGAGUAUUUCAACCCUGGUGACCAUACUGCACACAGGUGCAAGAACUGGCCCGGAGGCCCCGGGUAGAAAUGGCAACAGAGCUCUUCUCCAUUACAGGAAUAUCUCCUUCCAAAUCAAAGGGUUCCUGUGGGCACAUCUGUCUUAUGUGGUGAGCUAGGGGAGAUGGGUUGUCUGGGAAGGCCCAGGAGAUCUCCACGUAUUUGUUCUCAGGGCAUGGCUUAUUGCCAGAUCAUAGACAAUCCAUCACAUUUUCCAGGCGCUGCCCAGAGGCAGCACUGAAGCUUCAAUUAAAAAAUCAAGAGAUCACCUCUAUCACUACCAGGUGGAGGCAGGGGUUAAUUUGUCCCUUUGUUGAGACACCUCACCCUCCCCGAAGGUCCCCAACACUUCCUAAAAGCUCAGAAACAGGUAAUGCCCUGAAGUGGACCUCAUAAUUCUGCUUGGUCUGACUGGCAGUUUCAGUCAUCCUUCAAAGCCCCUAAAUAUCUGAAAAGGCCCAUACCCUUCCCCUGGCCACUGCAGAGUGGGGCACAGGGCUCAGCUGAGGGUCUCAAGUACCUAAGCAAUCUAGUUAUCAUUUACUUUAGUGGAUCCCAAACUGAAGGGAGAAGAGAAGAUUACUUCCUUUAAUAACUAUUUUUAUUUUUAUUGUUGCCAAUUAUUAGACUUCUUUUUCCUAUAGCAUGGGAACAAAUGGGGUGGGGGAGACUUUGAAGGGCGAAGCCCUAGUUCUCAGUGUCUGCCUUCCAUUCCCCAUGCAGCUUUGGCCCAAACAGGUUUCCCAGCAGAGUGUGUCUGAGAUAAAGAAGACAAAAGGGGGUGGCCCAACCCGAAGGUUGGCUCUGGUCCUUGGGUCUCGGUCUCUACAGCCGUAGCUCACAGGAAGCCCCCACGCCACAAAGCUCCAACUGCUUCCUAGGGCAGCUCCAUUUCCACUCAGUGCUCAUGUUGGCUCACAUUCCAGGCUUGAGAAGAGCCAUCACCCCAUCCAGCCCUCCUCCCCUACACACCCUUCCAGGCAGUUCUGCGAUGGGACCCAUUCACAGAUCAUUGUUUCUGCUAUAUAUGCCCCCACAGCCCAGCCCAGCCCAUCCACGCAGCCCUAGGGGUACAAUCCAGAUUUUUGGCUUCCGCGAAAAGAAAUCCUUUGCAUGUCCUCUUUGGUUCACCUGGAGAGAUAGGCUCAGCGGCAGAUCACGCUUAAGCUAACGUUUACCGCAGGGCCUGAUGCUCUGAUCUGCUGGAGGCAGGCUAUAGGCAGGGGGUAAGGGGCUCUCUCCCUCGCAGAGCGCAGUGAAGGAUUCUUGGGGGCUGGGAGUCAGGAGUUUUUACCUUGGAAGAGUGCGCCUCACAUCUGUGUGGAUUUUAGGCAGGAGAAGAGCAUCAAGGGUCUCACCAAAGGCUUGCCACUCACUGAGGGAGAGGCCUGGAUUCUGGGACCCCAGGAGAGUCUCUCCAGCAGGGUCUUGGCUCCCCUAUCCUCUUCCCUGCCAAGUCGGCCCUAUGUUCCUACCAGGACCCAGAACUCCGAUCCAGCCACGUCCUUUCCCCUGGGCUUGCAGGCGCUCCCUCUCGCCCCCGCUAGGCCUUAGCGGGCUCCGAAGUCUGCUGGACUGGGGCAAACCCCGCUCUUCUGGGACGGGGACACGGCCUGGGCCACCCGUGGCUGCCGGGACUCCUUUCCAACAGGGCUGGGGAUGGGAGAGUUGGAAAUCAAGAAAGAACCUCUGCCUCCAGUGCACGAGCCCAGAGCCCAGGCUACCAGAACCCGCUUGCAGCAAGGUAACUGUGCGUCCUGUGCCUUCUUGAGGCGGCGGCAGCGAUCGGCCCUGACCAUAGAGGCGGCCGUGGCGCGGAGGACUUGACCUUUACGGCACGAGAGGAGGGCGCUGGCUGAGCCGCAGGGAGGGGGACGCUGCUCUCUCCAGCCUCCUCCACCCAAUAGCAGUCCGCUCGACCCACGCCAGCUGCGCGCUCACCCCCUUUCCCCCUCCAUUUUGUGCAGUGUCCGCAGACCCGCGGCCGGAAACAAAGCCCCCAGCCCUGCUCUCACCACCCUUCUUGCAAGCUGCUGUCGCCAACCCCCCAGACCAGAGGCUCAGAGCUAACGCUAAGCCCCUUAAGGCCCUCUCCAGGGCCCUCUUCUCUCGCCAGCCGCCCUCAGCCAGCUCCUGACCCCAGCCGCCCUCAGCCAGCUCCUGGGUACCACUCUGGGUGCCAACCGGGACCUGCCGGUGCCACGGUCCCGUGCGCCGGGUCCCGGCCUCGGGCUGCGGGCGGCUUCGG
rnacentral:lncRNA from 1 species